rnacentral:misc_RNA from 1 species
GAAAUGCGAUAAUUAAUGUGAAUUGCAGAAUUCAGUGAAUCAUCGAGUCUUUGAACGCACAUUGCGCCCCCUGGUAUUCCGGGGGGCAUGCCUGUCCGAGCGUCAUUGCUGCCCUCAAGCACGGCUUGUGUGUUGGGCUUCCGUCCCUGGCAACGGGGACGGGCCCAAAAGGCAGUGGCGGCACCAUGUCUGGUCCUCGAGCGUAUGGGGCUUUGUCACCCGCUCCCGUAGGUCCAGCUGGCAGCCUGCCCAACCCCAACCUUUUUUUCAACCAGGUUGACCUCGGAUCAGGUAGGGAUACCCGCUGAACUUAAGC